rnacentral:lncRNA from 1 species
CCCUUCCUCCAUCUAUAAGUUUUCUAAGAGUGUCUCAUCUAAAACUCUUUCUUCUACUUUUCAUCUUUGGAAGAGUCCAAAUCAUGAAGAAAGAGAUAUCUGAUCAACCAUCGAAGAAGGAUCAGCGCAGUACUAGCAUACUGUGCUGAUUUCCUGGACCAGGACUUCUGAUCUGAUUCGUGGGCUCGUGUGGAUGUCUCCUAGAGGCCGGAUGUGUGUGCAGCUCACAACAUCAUCCACAAGCCUAGAUCAGCAAAGAUAGAAUGUCUAACUUGUAAGGUAAUAGAUCUGAUCUAUUAUAUUUUACAUACAUUAGAUGUAGUAUAGAAACAUGUUGAUAUGAUCAACAUGUAGUUCUUGCUCUUUAUAUUUUAAUUUUUG